rnacentral:rRNA from 1 species
GUACCCUACGGGAGGCAGCAGUGAGGAAUAUUGGUCAAUGGUCGGGAGACUGAACCAGCCAAGCCGCGUGAGGGAUGAAGGUACAGAGUAUCGUAAACCUCUUUUGUCAGGGAACAAAGGCGGGGACGCGUCCCCGGAUGAGUGUACCUGAAGAAAAAGCAUCGGCUAACUCCGUGCCAGCAGCCGCGGUAAUACGGAGGAUGCGAGCGUUAUCCGGAUUUAUUGGGUUUAAAGGGUGCGCAGGCGGUCUGUUAAGUCAGCGGUCAAAGCCCGGGGCUCAACCCCGGCCCGGCGUUGCAAACGGG